AUAGAAAAAUGUUUUGUAUUUUAUUAUUAUCAAAUGUUUUAGCGCAUGAUGACAAUUAAAACCGAAUGUCUGUUUGUUUUCAGAUAUUGGUUACAGUAAACCAUUUGAUGAACCAGGUACAAAACUAGCUCCGGUGAUUGGUCCAUGAUGACGUAUUAGUUAUGUCCAUUUUGAUGAUGAUGAUAAUGACAUCACCAAAUCUCAGUAUGAGGUCAGUGUUUUCGUUAUAAUGAGAGAUGGUAAAGGGACACAGAACAAAGACGUAAGGCUCGUGACUGAGUGAGUCAGCAAGUUCAGGAGAAUGACUCACUGAAUUGUUCCUGAGAGGAUUUGUUCCGUAUGACCACUGGCUUGAAGACAAAUUAUUGUCUAAACCGUAUCCUAUGAUGACCUGACCAGACAGACUAUCUUUCACCUCCAGACAACAUAUUUGACACACAUGAGCUCUUUUAAUUCCCUAUGACAUUUCCUCUAUAUUAUACUCCCUGCACGUGCACACACUGUCAUCUUUAUGAUGCUGUGUGAGUGUAAGACCAUAUAUGGUCAUUCACCUGUAUUUUUCCUAUGCUUUCUGUCUGUGUUUACUUGUAUCUUUCAGUCACGAGGCUAAGUCAGUAGCAAGAUGCAGAUGCUUUUAAGCUAAGUUACAAAUUAGGAAAUGAAUGGACUGCUUUCUUGCACACCUACUAGAAGAAAUUUAUGUCUAUGAAUCUCUUUUAAAAUUAUGUCUAUUAAGUUAAAUAUUUAGUCUAAUUUUUCUGUUCUCCACAAUUUUACCUUCUUAUGUUUGCAUACCUGAACUAAAUUGCAAGCCAAAUAGCUCCAUUUACAUUUUUUUUAUUAAAUAUAUGUAUGUGGGUUUUUAUUUGUGUAUAUGUGAGGACUCUCAGUAAAGCUUAAAAUGCUCUUAGUUUAUGCUGUUUAACAGUGUUUGUUGCUGCUCAUCCACAGCCAAGAUCUUUGGAUUAAAGUUAAAAUUAUCCUAAUUUACAAACUUUUCGUCUCGCCCCGCAACUCAACCCUGAAUCUGGCAUUGCAUGCAUAAAGCAAUUGACCCCUUUUUAAUAUGAGUUUGUAUAUUCAAAUACAGGAAUGUAAAUGCACACUUUGAUCAAGGAUAAAGACAAUA